GGUUAAGCGACUAAGCGUACACGGUGGAUGCCCUGGCAGUCAGAGGCGAUGAAGGACGUGCUAAUCUGCGAUAAGCGUCGGUAAGGUGAUAUGAACCGUUAUAACCGGCGAUUUCCGAAUGGGGAAACCCAGUGUGUUUCGACACACUAUCAUUAACUGAAUCCAUAGGUUAAUGAGGCGAACCGGGGGAACUGAAACAUCUAAGUACCCCGAGGAAAAGAAAUCAACCGAGAUUCCCCCAGUAGCGGCGAGCGAACGGGGAGCAGCCCAGAGCCUGAAUCAGUAUGUGUGUUAGUGGAAGCGUCUGGAAAGGCGCGCGAUACAGGGUGACAGCCCCGUACACAAAAAUGCACAUGCUGUGAGCUCGAUGAGUAGGGCGGGACACGUGGUAUCCUGUCUGAAUAUGGGGGGACCAUCCUCCAAGGCUAAAUACUCCUGACUGACCGAUAGUGAACCAGUACCGUGAGGGAAAGGCGAAAAGAACCCCGGCGAGGGGAGUGAAAAAGAACCUGAAACCGUGUACGUACAAGCAGUGGGAGCACAGAGCAAUCUGUGUGACUGCGUACCUUUUGUAUAAUGGGUCAGCGACUUAUAUUCUGUAGCAAGGUUAACCGAAUAGGGGAGCCGAAGGGAAACCGAGUCUUAACUGGGCGUUAAGUUGCAGGGUAUAGACCCGAAACCCGGUGAUCUAGCCAUGGGCAGGUUGAAGGUUGGGUAACACUAACUGGAGGACCGAACCGACUAAUGUUGAAAAAUUAGCGGAUGACUUGUGGCUGGGGGUGAAAGGCCAAUCAAACCGGGAGAUAGCUGGUUCUCCCCGAAAGCUAUUUAGGUAGCGCCUCGUGAAUUCAUCUCCGGGGGUAGAGCACUGUUUCGGCAAGGGGGUCAUCCCGACUUACCAACCCGAUGCAAACUGCGAAUACCGGAGAAUGUUAUCACGGGAGACACACGGCGGGUGCUAACGUCCGUCGUGAAGAGGGAAACAACCCAGACCGCCAGCUAAGGUCCCAAAGUCAUGGUUAAGUGGGAAACGAUGUGGGAAGGCCCAGACAGCCAGGAUGUUGGCUUAGAAGCAGCCAUCAUUUAAAGAAAGCGUAAUAGCUCACUGGUCGAGUCGGCCUGCGCGGAAGAUGUAACGGGGCUAAACCAUGCACCGAAGCUGCGGCAGCGACGCUUAUGCGUUGUUGGGUAGGGGAGCGUUCUGUAAGCCUGCGAAGGUGUGCUGUGAGGCAUGCUGGAGGUAUCAGAAGUGCGAAUGCUGACAUAAGUAACGAUAAAGCGGGUGAAAAGCCCGCUCGCCGGAAGACCAAGGGUUCCUGUCCAACGUUAAUCGGGGCAGGGUGAGUCGACCCCUAAGGCGAGGCCGAAAGGCGUAGUCGAUGGGAAACAGGUUAAUAUUCCUGUACUUGGUGUUACUGCGAAGGGGGGACGGAGAAGGCUAUGUUGGCCGGGCGACGGUUGUCCCGGUUUAAGCGUGUAGGCUGGUUUUCCAGGCAAAUCCGGAAAACUAAGGCUGAGGCGUGAUGACGAGGCACUACGGUGCUGAAGCAACAAAUGCCCUGCUUCCAGGAAAAGCCUCUAAGCAUCAGGUAACAUCAAAUCGUACCCCAAACCGACACAGGUGGUCAGGUAGAGAAUACCAAGGCGCUUGAGAGAACUCGGGUGAAGGAACUAGGCAAAAUGGUGCCGUAACUUCGGGAGAAGGCACGCUGAUAUGUAGGUGAAGUCCCUCGCGGAUGGAGCUGAAAUCAGUCGAAGAUACCAGCUGGCUGCAACUGUUUAUUAAAAACACAGCACUGUGCAAACACGAAAGUGGACGUAUACGGUGUGACGCCUGCCCGGUGCCGGAAGGUUAAUUGAUGGGGUCAGCGCAAGCGAAGCUCUUGAUCGAAGCCCCGGUAAACGGCGGCCGUAACUAUAACGGUCCUAAGGUAGCGAAAUUCCUUGUCGGGUAAGUUCCGACCUGCACGAAUGGCGUAAUGAUGGCCAGGCUGUCUCCACCCGAGACUCAGUGAAAUUGAACUCGCUGUGAAGAUGCAGUGUACCCGCGGCAAGACGGAAAGACCCCGUGAACCUUUACUAUAGCUUGACACUGAACAUUGAGCCUUGAUGUGUAGGAUAGGUGGGAGGCUUUGAAGUGUGGACGCCAGUCUGCAUGGAGCCGACCUUGAAAUACCACCCUUUAAUGUUUGAUGUUCUAACGUUGACCCGUAAUCCGGGUUGCGGACAGUGUCUGGUGGGUAGUUUGACUGGGGCGGUCUCCUCCUAAAGAGUAACGGAGGAGCACGAAGGUUGGCUAAUCCUGGUCGGACAUCAGGAGGUUAGUGCAAUGGCAUAAGCCAGCUUGACUGCGAGCGUGACGGCGCGAGCAGGUGCGAAAGCAGGUCAUAGUGAUCCGGUGGUUCUGAAUGGAAGGGCCAUCGCUCAACGGAUAAAAGGUACUCCGGGGAUAACAGGCUGAUACCGCCCAAGAGUUCAUAUCGACGGCGGUGUUUGGCACCUCGAUGUCGGCUCAUCACAUCCUGGGGCUGAAGUAGGUCCCAAGGGUAUGGCUGUUCGCCAUUUAAAGUGGUACGCGAGCUGGGUUUAGAACGUCGUGAGACAGUUCGGUCCCUAUCUGCCGUGGGCGCUGGAGAACUGAGGGGGGCUGCUCCUAGUACGAGAGGACCGGAGUGGACGCAUCACUGGUGUUCGGGUUGUCAUGCCAAUGGCACUGCCCGGUAGCUAAAUGCGGAAGAGAUAAGUGCUGAAAGCAUCUAAGCACGAAACUUGCCCCGAGAUGAGUUCUCCCUGACUCCUUGAGAGUCCUGAAGGAACGUUGAAGACGACGACGUUGAUAGGCCGGGUGUGUAAGCGCAGCGAUGCGUUGAGCUAACCGGUACUAAUGAACCGUGAGGCUUAACCUU
rnacentral:rRNA from 1 species